AAGAAAUUAGACCUCACAUCGAUAAAUAUUUGUCAUUGUGCAAGUAGCAUCGCCGUACGUUAUGGCUGUAAUCUGCCUGCAAUUUCUGCUCUACAUUUCGGUGGCAGGCACUGCUUCUUCUGCCAUAAUUACCAACCAUUCUUCUACGAUCCCUGUUGUUACAAAUGAAAUAUUCAGUGUUCCACAAAGUAUUAGAAUUACUACCGCAACAAUGCAAGAGCGCGAUGCUGUACUAGAAACUCAAAUUAAACCGAUCUGGAGAAACAUAUUAGCCGCUAUUCUUAAGGGCGACUUGGAUUUAUUUAUAACAAGCGAUUCCGCUCCCGCGUCCGACCCACUGGCCACACCCAACGGAGAACUCAUCCGCGAGAUUUCUUACAAUGUCAACGGGAUCGCCAAUGGUACACUGAACGCGAAGGAAACGAAUGAUCGAUUUGAUCGUUUGGUAAAGG